UACGUAGGGGGCAAGCGUUGUCCGGAAUUACUGGGCGUAAAGCGUGCGCAGGCGGUUUUGUAAGUCUGUCGUGAAAGCCCCGGGCUCAACCUGGGAAUUGCGAUGGAGACUGCAAGGCUUGAAUCUGGCAGAGGGGGGUAGAAUUCCAGGUGUAGCGGUGAAAUGCGUAGAUAUCUGGAGGAACACCGGUGGCGAAGGCGGCAUCCUGGACCGGUAUUGACGCUGAGGCGCGAAAGCCAGGGGAGCAAACGGG
rnacentral:rRNA from 1 species